AUUGAACGCUGGCGGCAGGCCUAACACAUGCAAGUCGAACGGUAACAGGAAGCAGCUUGCUGCUUUGCUGACGAGUGGCGGACGGGUGAGUAAUUUCUGGGAAACUGCCUGAUGGAGGGGGAUAACUACUGGAAACGGUAGCUAAUACCGCAAAAUGUCGCAAGACCAAAGAGGGGGACCUUCGGGCCUCUUGCCAUCGGAUGUGCCCAGAUGGGAUUAGCUAGUAGGUGGGGUAAAGGCUCACCUAGGCGACGAUCCCUAGCUGGUCUGAGAGGAUGACCAGCCACACUGGAACUGAGACACGGUCCAGACUCCUACGGGAGGCAGCAGUGGGGAAUAUUGCACAAUGGGCGCAAGCCUGAUGCAGCCAUGCCGCGUGUAUGAAGAAGGCCUUCGGGUUGUAAAGUACUGUCAGCGGGGAGGAAGGGAGUAAAGUUAAUACCUUUGCUCAUUGACGUUACCCGCAGAAGAAGCACCGGCUAACUCCGUG
rnacentral:rRNA from 1 species